rnacentral:rRNA from 1 species
AAGACCUUGCGCUUUUGGAGCGGCCGAUGUCUGAUUAGCUAGUUGGUAGGGUAAUGGCCCACCAAAGCUUCGAUCAGUAGCUGGUCUGAGAGGACGACCAGCCACACUGGGACUGAGACACGGCCCAGACCCCUACGGGAGGCAGCAGUGGGGAAUUUUGGACAAUGGGCGCAAGCCUGAUCCAGCCAUGCCGCGUGAGUGAAGAAGGCCUUCGGGUUGUAYAGCUCUUUCAGCCGGGAAGAAAAGGCUACGACGAAUAAUCGUAGCUCAUGACGGUACCGGAAGAAGAAGCACCGGCUAACUACGUGCCAGCAGCCGCGGUAAUACGUAGGGUGCGAGCGUUAAUCGGAAUUACUGGGCGUAAAGGGUGCGCAGGCGGUUUUGUAAGUCAGAUGUGAAAUCCCCGGGCUUAACCUGGGAACU